AGGGGAUUAGUUUAAUGGUAGAACAGCGGUCUCCAAAACCGUCGGUGUAGGUUCGACUCCUGCAUCCCCUGCCA
rnacentral:tRNA from 1 species